GCAAACCCACAAAAUUACAUAAGACGCCAGGGCCCAAGUGCACAGGGCUACUCCGGUAUGAAGGUUGUGCGAAUAUGCAGACACUGGCUUUGGAACGGCACCCGCGCUGUGUGCUGUGAAUGUGAUUUUUUUCCAGGACUCCUUGGAAGAGCUGAAGCUGGUGGCGAGAGGCUCGCUGUUCCAGGUGGCCGGCCUGCAAGACUGCUUCCUGCAGCAGAGCGAGCCGGUGGCCGCCAGCACAGGCGACUUUAAUCGGCAGUUCUUGGGGCAAAUGACACAACUAAACCAGCUCCUGGGAGAGGUGAAGGAUCUUCUGAGACAGCAGGUCAAGGAAACAUCAUUUUUGCGAAACACCGUAGCCGAAUGCCAGGCUUGCGGGCCUCUCAGCUUGCAGUCUCCAACCCC